rnacentral:rRNA from 1 species
GACGAACGCUGGCGGCGUGCUUAACACAUGCAAGUCGAGCGACGCUCUUCCUUCGGGGAGAUGACGGAGCGGCGAACGGGUGAGUAACACGUGGGCAACCUGCCCCUAGCUCUGGGACAACACCGGGAAACCGGUGCUAAUACCGGAUACGACAUCGAGCGGCAUCCCUCGAUGUGGAAAGUUUUUUCGGCUAGGGAUGGGCCCGCGGCCUAUCAGCUUGUUGGUGGGGUAAUGGCCCACCAAGGCGACGACGGGUAGCCGGCCUGAGAGGGCGACCGGCCACACUGGGACUGAGGCACGGCCCAGACUCCUACGGGAGGCAGCAGUGGGGAAUAUUGCGCAAUGGGCGAAAGCCUGACGCAGCGACGCCGCGUGAGGGAUGACGGCCUUCGGGUUGUAAACCUCUUUCAGCAGGGACGAAUUCAGACGGUACCUGCAGAAGAAGCACCGGCCAACUACGUG